CAAUAUCCUGAUUCCGUUGGUCGUCGUCAGCUCCAUUUAUCCUCAAUGCAUUCGAGACUCAACUUCCUUCGCCGGUUCCCAUCUGGGAAAGGGAGUUCGGUGCCGCAGAGAGAACGAUCGCUACGAUGGUUGACAUAUCGGGAAGGCAGCUCGGCGCAGCAGAGAGAAGGAUCGCUAACAUCGCCAAUCACCUAUCACCUCCGCCUUCCACUUCACCCCUGCCUUCGAUUGUCCGUCAAGCGACCGCUUCAACGGGCGACAGUUACCAUAGAGUCCAUGGUCAGGUGCCGACGCGAGAAACGACGUGGAGACCGGCCUGCGACGAGUCCGGAAAGGAGUACAUCGACAUUCUGUAUGAAAAAGCGGUGGGCGAAGGGAUUGCGAAGAUCACAAUCAAUCGUCCUGAAAGAAGGAAUGCUUUUAGGCCAAAUACUAUCAAAGAACUUAUUCGGGCGUUUAAUGAUGCGAGGGAUGACAGCUCUAUUGGUGUCAUCAUUCUUACUGGAAAGGGAACCAAAGCUUUCUGUAGUGGUGGUGACCAGGCACUAAGAGGUCCUGAUGGUUAUGCUGAUUUUGAAAAUUUUGGCCGUCUUAAUGUGUUGGAUCUCCAGGUACAAAUACGUCGGCUUCCUAAACCAGUAAUAGCAAUGGUAGCAGGUUAUGCUGUUGGUGGUGGUCACAUAUUACACAUGGUUUGUGACUUAACUAUUGCUGCUGAUAAUGCAAUUUUUGGUCAAACUGGGCCAAAGGUUGGUAGCUUUGAUGCUGGUUAUGGAUCCUCCAUCAUGUCCCGUUUGAUUGGGCCAAAGAAAGCACGUGAGAUGUGGUUUUUGUGCCGAUUCUACGAUGCUUAUGAAGCAGAAAAAAUGGGACUCGUGAACGUAGUAGUACCUCUGGAGAAAUUGGAACUCGAGACACUGAAAUGGUGCCGUGAGAUUUUACGCAACAGUCCAACGGCAAUCCGUAUCUUGAAAUCUGCUCUUAAUGCUGUAGAUGAUGGCCAUGCUGGUCUGCAGGAGCUGGGAGGAAAUGCAACGUUAGUCUUCUAUGGUACUGAAGAGGCUAAUGAAGGGAAGAGAGCAUAUAUGGAUCGCCGGCAACCAGAUUUCUCUAAAUUUCCACGAAGACCUUGAUCUCACUUUCUUCGAUCGUAUCAUCUACUUUUUAAACUCCAUUUUGGACCUUUGCUUGCUCAUCAAUUUAGCACCUUUCUCGAUAUCGCAUGCUAAACAAAAGACUGAUGAUCUGAAAAUGGCGAUCGAGUUCGACAAAUAGCUAAGGAUUCAACUUUGGCCCGCCUCCAAUUCAUUGUCUUCUUGGAUUGUAUAUUCAUCCACAAUCAUUAGGACGUGCAGGGUCAACUCAAUAGUUGACAUUAUACUCUUUAAUUGAUAUACCUAGACCAAAGAAACAGCUUCUUCUUCUUCUAGGUGUUAGCUGCAGUGAUCAUGUUUCAAUCUUCACCAGAACUUAAAUUUUCCUCCAGGCCCCCGGACGGGCUGAUUGUCAGAUCCAGUCCCGACGCCGGCACCGAAGCGCCGGCGAGGUACCGCCUCCCGAUGGCAGACGUCGUCCAGGGGGGGAAUGACCACGUGGAGUGCCCCGGCGAGUCUUGCCGCUCGUGCACGGCGUUGGCGAUCGGCGACUGCGUCGCGCUGGGCUGCUGCCCCUUUGCGGUGGUGAACGUGCUGGCGCUGGCCCUGGUGAAGUUGCCGUGGGUGGCCUCGAGAAGGUGCUUGGCGUCUCUGCGCCGGAGAAGGGCGACGAUGCGGAGGAGGAGAGUGGCGGACGUCGGGGGCGCAGAGGAGAAGAUGAGAGAGGCGGUGAUGGUUGGGGAGGCUGGGAGGAGCUCCGGCGAGUGGAGAGAGGACGAAGGUGGGACGCCGCCUGGAUUAAUGGAAACAGAGGACGGGGUCUGGCUGGAGCUCUACCAGGUGGGGAACUGGGGGUUCGGCCGAGUUUCCUUCUCCGGCAUUCAAAGGGAGUGGUGCUUGCGGCCGCGCAGCGGCGGCGGUGGAGGAAGUGCACCGGCGGCCACUUUUGGAACCGUCGAAGAGUUUAAUUAAUCGCUACGUAUUCUACAAAAUCGCAUCGGUAUCUUAGAGAGAGAGAUUUGUUCGGUUGU